UACGAAGGGGGCUAGCGUUGCUCGGAAUUACUGGGCGUAAAGGGAGCGUAGGCGGACUGUUUAGUCAGAGGUGAAAGCCCCAGGGCUCAACCUUGGAAUUGCCUUUGAUACUGGCAGUCUUGAGUACGGAAGAGGUAUGUGGAACUCCGAGUGUAGAGGUGAAAUUCGUAGAUAUUCGGAAGAACACCAGUGGCGAAGGCGACAUACUGGUCCGUUACUGACGCUGAGGCUCGGAAAGCGUGGGGAGCAAACAGG
rnacentral:rRNA from 1 species